AGGACCUGCUCCUUGGUCUUGUUGACGUUGAGAGAGAGGUUGUUGUCAUGGCACCACACUGCCAGGGUUCUGACCUCCUCCCUGUAGUCCACGACCAGCUCCUUGGUCUUGUUGACGUUGAGAGAGAGGUUGUUGUCAUGGCACCACACUGCCAGGGUUCUGACCUCCUCCCUGUAGUCCACGACCAGCUCCUUGGUCUUGUUGACGUUGAGAGAGAGGUUGUUGUCAUGGCACCACACUGCCAGGGUUCUGACCUCCUCCCUGUAGUC